AUCGAACGCUGGCGGCAGGCCUAACACAUGCAAGUCGAACGAACCUUUCGGGGUUAGUGGCGGACGGGUGAGUAACACGUGGGAACGUGCCUUUAGGUUCGGAAUAACUCAGGGAAACUUGUGCUAAUACCGAAUGUGCCCUUCGGGGGAAAGAUUUAUCGCCUUUAGAGCGGCCCGCGUCUGAUUAGCUAGUUGGUUGAGGUAAUGGCUCACCAAGGCGACGAUCAGUAGCUGGUCUGAGAGGAUGAUCAGCCACAUUGGGACUGAGACACGGCCCAAACUCCUACGGGAGGCAGCAGUGGGGAAUCUUGCGCAAUGGGCGAAAGCCUGACGCAGCCAUGCCGCGUGAAUGAUGAAGGUCUUAGGAUUGUAAAAUUCUUUCACCGGGGACGAUAAUGACGGUACCCGGAGAAGAAGCCCCGGCUAACUUCGUG
rnacentral:rRNA from 1 species